CGCGACGCACCGCGCUCCCCGCCGAGCCAAUGGUUGCCCUGUCCGCGCGCGGCCACCUGACCUAGGGCGCCGUUGUUAUUAGGAGCGGCGAGGCGGGAGGCGCGGGGCAGCGGGGCUGGGCUCCGGCCGGGAGUCAGACGAGGGAGCGCGCGCGCGCUCCCGGACAGUUCUCCGCAGCCGCUCGCCCGAGCCUUCUACUUGGCCAACACAGCUGCCUCUACCACCUCGCGUGCCCGGUUCGUGGGCUUUCAGGUAGGAGGCGGCGCGCGGCGGGUCGGGAGUGCAGCAUCGCGCCGACCGAGGGGCGCGGCGUGGAUGUGGGGGGCGGGCAGGAGCGCCCCCCCGUGGACACGAGCGCGCGGGGCAGCGACAGCGGCUGGAUGGUUAAGGGCACGUACGUGCGGGGCGGGGCCUGCGUGGGGCUCUGGGCGCACGUGUCGCGGGAAAUGGAGUGGACACCGGGGGCUUCAGGGGAAGACAUCCAAACGACUGGGAGUCACGCGUGGACUCUUUCGCGCGAGGGUAGGUGUGCAGACCGGCCAGGCGAGCCUCGCGUCCGGACAUCGCAAGCGCUGGCAGUUUCCUUCUUGGUUCUUGGGAUGGUGUUUUGCUUCUGCGCCCGCGCUGGUAGGAGCUUUGCGCCCUACCCGCCUACCUCGUGCACUUGUCCACGGUAGAUUUAAACCACACACGAAUUCGAAAAACAAAGUGAAACUACAUCCACGCCCAGUGGGAGAUGAGUUACCAAGCAUGUCCUGAAGAUGAAGAUACUCUCAGCCUAACGUCUCCAAGCAAAUAUUGAUUCAGCAGUAUCCCCAGGUAGGUGCUUUUUGCUUAAAAGGGGCUUUCCUGUUAGCCCUUGGCAUUUAUUGUGCUUAGAAGCUGGCAAGACACAUAGAUCUAAACCCACAGGAGCCUUCAGAGCAACUGUUGGUACCGCCCUCUGCUAGGCAGGAAAGAAGGAGCCAGAGAGGAUCCACCAAGGUCACCCUGCCAGUGAGCAUCAAAGGCAAUUCUAGUCCACAUAGUUACCAUGACAUUACAGGAUGUUUAUCUAGAACUUAAGCCCCAAAUACUAUGCUUAAGUUCUAGACCACACAUGUGUGCACACACACAAGCACACGCGCGCACACAUACAAACACAAUGUCCAUUUCUCCCGAAAUCCUGAACACUUUUCUAACUUCAAAGGGUAGCAACCUAGACGUGCUGAUAACCCACCUUGGCCUCUGCCGUGGGAUUCUGCCAAGCAGCCCACUUGGACGUCACCCUUAAUUUAAGCCAGCGUGAUGGAUUGUGAUGUGGUCUUUCUUAACUGUAUUAUUACUCCUGCUUCAUUCCCUGAGCACAGAAUGAGGGAUUCUCUCUACUACGCCUGGGAUGCAUCCUCCUUGCUGGGUAUAACUGGCCUAUUUGCUCAGUAAAAGCAGUGGGGAAACAAGUGUCCUUGAAGCCCAGACAUAGCAGAAUUCCUAGCUGCCCUCCACCCCUGAGUCUGCAGACCCAGGUCCCCCAGACCUGCUCACUUUACUCUUAUACCCUGCUAUGCUGCAGUGUAAACUGCCUUCCUGUCUCAACUGCAGAAGCCCUCCUCUGGCUGUAUGUGGCACAGUGUCUUUUGCCAAGGCCGGUGCUCCACCCAGACCCCUGGAAUCUAGUUGCAGGGCAUUCACCAUGUUUACUGGCAUCCUAGGUGUGUGUGGGCUCUGCAGCUUGCCUUCAACAAGUCCCCAGCUGCUCUUUUUCUCCUCUCAUAUGAUG
ensembl:lncRNA